GACGAACGCUGGCGGCGUGCUUAACACAUGCAAGUCGAACGAGAAAGGCUCUUCGGAGCUGAGUACAGUGGCGAACGGGUGAGUAACACGUGGGCAACCUGCCCCAUGGAGCGGGACAACCCGGGGAAACCCGGGCUAAUACCGCAUGAUUCGUACGGUCAUAAGUCCGUACGGGAAAUGGUAGCUUCGGCCUCCGCCAUGGGAUGGGCCCGCGGCGCAUUAGCUUGUUGGUGAGGUAACGGCUCACCCAGGCGACGAUGCGUAGCUGGUCUGAGAGGACGAUCAGCCACACUGGGACUGGGACACGGCCCAGACUCCUACGGGAGGCAGCAGUGGGGAAUCUUGCGCAAUGGGCGGAAGCCUGACGCAGCAACGCCGCGUGUGGGAAGACGGCCUUCGGGUUGUAAACCACUUUCAGGGGGGACGAAGCUUCCGAGGUUAAUAGCCCAGAGGGUGACGGUACCUCCAGAAGAAGCCCCGGCUAACUACGUGCCAGCCGCCGCCGUAAUAC
rnacentral:rRNA from 1 species